GUCAAAAAGCUUUAAUACAUCAUUAAAAGUCCUGGGACGUGUGGAAUAAUGACUCUUCUGUAAUAUAAAAUAAAAAAGAAUAAGUUAUCUAUGUAGUUGUAUAAAGAAGGAAAAGUCCUUGAGUUCAAAAUCAACACUGCCAUAUAAGUCAUUCAACAGAUACAAAUUGUUAGCAUGAAUAUGAGCCUAUUCAAUGUGUCAUGGAUAAGAACUCCAACACCAAAAUAUUCACAUUUGCUUAAUUAUUUGGAGCAAAGAUUCUCAUAGCGGUCAGAAGAUAAGGAUGGAUUUCACUGAAAUAGACAGGAAUUAAAUGGAGCUAGUGAUUCAGCUUAAUUUAGCAGAAGGAGAAUUCAUUUUUUUUAAUAAUGAAACAUUUUGCAAAUUGAUUAUCGCUUCCCUGAAGCUCUCUUUCUUUUAUCUAAGUGUGGUGUUUGGAAGCUCAGGGCUGGAUUUUUCUUUCGUUCCCAUCAAACAAAGAUCAAAGCAGAAGUGCGAGUCUAUAUUAAGGACUCUCUUCCGUCAUCACCAAACAGUUGUGUUUUGUAGACCGACCCAUCUCCUCUGCUGUGGUAGAUAUUGUAUCUCAGUAUUGGAUCACUGGAGAACAGAAGGGCUCUCUCACAUGUAGGCGCAGUACAUAAAAACCAAACUCUUCAGCCAGCACUGGCCCCUAGGAACCCUACUGACUCACUUGCCCUUGUGGGCACAAGCCGGAUCCAUUGGGAAUGCUACAGAAUAUGACAUCUGGAUAUCGCAGAGGUCUGCUAAGCUAUUUGGAAGACAACUUGGCUUUUUUUUUUUUUUUUUUUUUUUUUUUUUCUUUUUUAAAUCUUUUUAAGUAUCUGUGUUUCCACAUUUCAUAGUCUGGGACAGGGUAACUGUUCCCAGGAAAAUAAGCCUAUCAUCUGCAUUAGCCAGCACUCAGGUUCAGAAGGCAUCGCAUUAUGGAUCAGCAUCAAUGUAUGAAAGCUGAAGGUCUGAAAUCCUACUCUUGAACCAAAAAUACACAUGGCAAAGAAAAAUAACAUGAAGAAAAGAUGGCAAGAAUUUGGAAGGAAGGAUCCUCCUUAACGCUGCUGUUAUUUUAUAUGUCCUUGAGAGACUUCAGUGGACUAAUUAACCAACUGGAAGAUGUCUAUGUCCCUCAUGGAUGACAGAGCAUGUGUGGAGUGACCAGAUCCCAAAAUAGGAGACAGACACAUCCUCUACUGCUGCUUCUCAGCAUCCUGACGGGACCGUGAUUCAGCCAUGAUUCAGAAGGAAAUGUGUCACAUGGUGAGUCAUCAGCAUCGCUACCUCCAGCACCUCUGGUCUCCCAGCUGAGAGCUGGCAGUCACCUCUAAGAAAGUGAAAGCAGCAGCUAUCAUCACUAUGAGGCAAAAGUAAAGUGGAGACAGUUCAGCUCCCGCUCCGUAGUGUGACCUCUAAAGCCUUUGCACUCUUCAUUUCUGUUUGUUUGUAAGAACAGGCAGCUGCUUAAGGUACAGUGUCUGUUGUCAAGAAAUGGAAAGCUAGAAUAGUAUUUAUCUUACAUCAGUGCCAUUAUCAUGAUAACAAUCAAUUGUGUUUAGGAACACCACGUUAUUUCAGUCUGCAUAUCUAUGAUCUACGACAGGAGGAAAAUUGGAAAAUCACGUGUCACUUUCUUCUUGAUUCUUAACAUAUUAAACUAUAAAAAUACUACUAUAGCAAAGAAGCAGUUUGCUUACAAAGACAACUGGAAGUGAAGAAGGUGAGUCCAUCAAAAGAAACAGCACCUGAAAAAAAAUUCACAUCUUUUGGGGAAGAUCUAAUGCAGCAAGAGAUCCCACAUUUUGUUUUGGUUUCCCAAAUAAGUAUUUCUGAUUUGCAUAAAGGUUUUGAGUUUUAAUGAGGGGAAGAUUUCUCUCUCUGUGUGGGUCUGGGACAACAGGUGGGUUGUUCUGUAUUACUGUUGUCUUCAUGGGGCCUGGAAAAGGAAUGGGGGUUGCUGGGCAGUCUAGGGAGGGAGAGAUGUGUGGCUGUAGCGCGACCUUUGUCAUACUCCUCUUGAUUUAGAAUAGAAAAAGAAGAAGAGAAAUGGAGGAAAGAGGAACAUGAACUUUUACUCCUACAAGGGCCAUUCCAGUCAGAAAAGAGAUCAUCUACAAAACCCACUUCCUUCUUGACUUCCCUUACAAUUGAAGGUGUACCAUGCUUGGUGCUCUCCGAGGAAUGCCUUGGCAUACUCUGGGGCAUCAUGUCCCUGCAAUGCACACCAAGUAUGCUUGCUCCGUGGCUCUGCUGGAGAAGAAAAUUCCAUUUGGUAAAUGCAGGCUGUGCAGAGCUGGUUGGCCUCAGAGCCGGGGAAAGGC
ensembl:lncRNA